GCACAUAGUGAAAUUGGAAAAGAAGAAUAUGCUUGGGGAAAGAAAUCUAGACUGCCUGGGAAUAUGCCUCCUCACCAGAAGCUUUCUUGUUAGCAUUUCAGGCAGUUCUGCUGCCAGGAGGCCGCUGGACCCCACGAAGUUUUGAGCAGGCUCCAGGAACUUUGUCAUAACUGGCUGAAGCCAGAGAUGCACACUAAGGGGCAGAUCCUGGAACUGCUGGAGUAGUUCCUGACCAUCCUGCCUGAGGAACUUUGGACUUGGGUACAGGAGAAUCAUACAGAGUGUGGAAGAGGCAGAGCUGUGCUGGAGAAUCUGAUGAGAGAGCUUGGAGAUGCAGGCCAGCAGGUUCAAGCUCAUGCACACAAGCAGGAAGUGCUCUGGAAGGAGGCAAGAUGUUUAAAUUCACCAGAGAAGUCGCUGAAUAUUUCUCUAUAGGAAAGUGGUAACCUGAUGCAUGAAGCAGGAAACUUGUGAAGAAAUGGGAGCACACACAGAUAUAUCUGUUAAUAGGAAUAUAUCUGAAGGAGUC